rnacentral:rRNA from 1 species
UACGUAGGGGGCAAGCGUUGUCCGGAUUUAUUGGGCGUAAAGAGCGUGUAGGCGGCCUGACAGGUCUGCUGUGAAAACUCGAGGCUCAACCUCGAGAUGUCGGCGGAAACCGUCUGGCUAGAGUCCGGAAGAGGAGAGUGGAAUUCCUGGUGUAGCGGUGAAAUGCGCAGAUAUCAGGAGGAACACCCGUAGCGAAGGCGGCACUCUGGGCCGAUACUGACACUGAGGAGCGAAAGCGUGGGGAGCGAACAGG